rnacentral:rRNA from 1 species
GAUGAACGCUAGCGGCAGGCCUAACACAUGCAAGUCGAGGGAGAAGCCCUUCGGGGCAGAAACCGGCGCACGGGUGCGUAACGCGUAUGCAACCUACCUUUCACAGGGGGAUAGCCCGAAGAAAUUUGGAUUAAUACCCCAUAAUAUUAUUGGAUGGCAUCAUUUGAUAAUUAAAAUUACGAUGGUGAAAGAUGGGCAUGCGUCCUAUUAGCUAGUUGGAGUGGUAACGGCACCCCAAGGCUACGAUAGGUAGGGGUCCUGAGAGGGAGAUCCCCCACACUGGUACUGAGACAGGGACCAGACUCCUACGGGAGGCAGCAGUGAGGAAUAUUGGUCAAUGGUCGGAAGACUGAACCAGCCAUGCCGCGUGCAGGAAGAAUGCCUUAUGGGUUGUAAACUGCUUUUAUAUGGGAAGAAUAAGGAGUACGCGUACUUUGAUGACGUACCAUAUGAAUAAGCAUCGCA